UACGUAGGGUGCAAGCGUUGUCCGGAAUUAUUGGGCGUAAAGAGCUCGUAGGCGGUCUGUCGCGUCGGCUGUGAAAACCCGGAGCUCAACUCCGGGCCUGCAGUCGAUACGGGCAAACUGGAGUGUUGCAGGGGAGACUGGAAUUCCUGGUGUAGCGGUGAAAUGCGCAGAUAUCAGGAGGAACACCGGUGGCGAAGGCGGGUCUCUGGGCCGAUACUGACGCUGAGGAGCGAAAGCGUGGGGAGCGAACAGG
rnacentral:rRNA from 1 species